GCCUUAAUGCAAUGGUGGAGUAACUAGUGCCUGCAAUGACUGCUUUAGAAUGCUUGGUUGCGGAUACUCGCUAACGAGAUCUGGGUAUUGCACAAAUAUAACAGUGGUUUAUUUAGGCAACUGACUUAUCAGGCUGCUUUAAAGCAUCAUUUGGUUUCUCCCCAUUUCUGCUCAGAGGCUGGCACAGCAUGGUGGUCCUUCCUGAAGACACGUUCAUGGAGGAGGACACACAAACAACAUUACUCCAUCUGCCCAGUACCCAUGUUGCGUUAGGUACUAUACAAACAUCAACAAAAGAGCAUCCCUACCAUGAAGAGUUUACAAUCUAAUUAUAAGACAGGAGGCAAGAGGUGGAUGCAGCUAGCAGAUGUAGAAAGAACAAGUGUUUUGGGAAACCUAGAUGGAAGAGGGGAGGAAACAAAUGAGAAGGCUUGGAAAACAGAGUGAUUAAUUAAGGAGUCCAUAUCUCUUUACUAGUGUCUUCCUUAAACCACAUUUAUGUGAAUGUUUUUGGAUUUCAAGGUAAGCCACAUGGGAUGUGUUCUUCAUGUGAAAAGUCCCAAAGGAACACACCCAAAGAAUAGUACCUUUCAUGUGAAAAAUUACCACUGCUGCUACCACUUCUCAACCUGUUUAAUGUAAAAUGGAUCUGAAUGUCACUACUGCCUUAAAAGAAGUUUAAUUUCCCAAAUAUCUCCUGCUAAAUGUAUUCAGCUAGAUUUUCCAGAUGGAGUAAAUUAACAUCACUCCAUUAAAAUUAUGUCAGUUUAUACCAGCUGCAGAUUGGCUGUCUGUUCAGACUAUCAAAAUCUUUCAACUAAUUUCUCUAAAAAAAAUGCAUGGAGAUAAAGGUGAGAAAAAGGAAAGGAGAGGGAAAGGAGAUCCUGUGAAAGGAGAGAAGUGUUAGGCAAAUCAUCAUCAACCAUCUCAUUGACCCUAGGUACCAUCAGCAUCUCAGAAAUAGUGAUAUUUGUGACCUUUCACUCCAUAUUCUUUAUGAAAAUAUGCUGAUAUGAAUGACAUAAGUGAGAUGUACUGUAUGCAAGAUGGCUCAUGUAAGAUAUAAUUGGAAAGGUUAUGAUUUACUGAAUGUAAUUAUCCAAUUUGUAUGCCUGUAUCAUUUCUGUAUCUGAAGUUAGGAAUACUGACUAUGUAUCUGUAUUUCAAAUGUGUUACUUUGGGUGUCUCCCAACUAGCCCAUCAGGGUCCAACUAGCCCAUCAGGUACAACAAUGGAAAAGCUAGACAGGACAAAUGGCCCAUUAGCAAAGACAAUGGCCUGUGAAAGAACUUAGUUUUCCUGUGGACGCCCCAGACAGCCUACGAGUAAUGGCUGCCACAGCCCUGCAGAGACAUGGUCUGAGUCACCUGGUACUGGACCCACCCCUUGGAAUGCCAGUGUUCUUCCACUGGGAGACAAAGGGUUCCCACCAACACAAGAGCCAUACAAGGCAGGGGAGUGACAUCAUCGUGGGUCUCCUCUGCCUCCCAACCCAAAGAAACGCUGAAAAACACCUGAAAGCAGGAACUGAACUGAGGGUUGAACCCAGGCUGAGAGGGUGUCCAGUCUGUGAGUGGAAAUACCUGAAGUCUCAAGCUGCAGGCCAGGGCAGCUGCCUUUCAAGACUUCUAUAAUCUAUCUAUGACAAUAUUUAGGUGAGAAAUUACUAUUUGUAACCUAUUUCUUUAGUGAAACAAGUUUAGUAU